ACGGGAGGCAGCAGUGGGGAAUAUUGGGCAAUGGGCGAAAGCCUGACCCAGCAACGUCGCGUGAAGGAAGAAGGUCCUCGGAUUGUAAACUUCUUUUAUCAGGGACGAAGAAAGUGACGGUACCUGAUGAAUAAGCCACGGCUAACUACGUGCCAGCAGCCGCGGUAAUACGUAGGUGGCGAGCGUUAUCCGGAUUUACUGGGUGUAAAGGGCGCGUAGGCGGGGAUGCAAGUCAGAUGUGAAAUCCAUGGGCUUAACUCAUGAACUGCAUUUGAAACUGUAUCUCUUGAGUAUCGGAGAGGCAAGCGGAAUUCCUAGUGUAGCGGUGAAAUGCGUAGAUAUUAGGAGGAACACCAGUGGCGAAGGCGGCUUGCUGGACGACAACUGACGCUGAGGCGCGAAAGCGUGGGGAGCAAACAGGAUUAGAUACCCUGGUA
rnacentral:rRNA from 1 species